rnacentral:lncRNA from 1 species
UGAACAAGAAGGCUCUUGCUUUGCAGUUCUCAGCUCCCAGUAUCUUGAGCUAAAUAAAGCUUUGCUCAUCCAAAACUACCAACCCUGGGAGCUGGGGAGAUGGUGCAGUUGCCCUCGCUAACCUGAGUGAUUCUGAAACUACACAAGCUGCAUUUGGGAGAAGGAGAAGUGUCUGGGAAGGGGCCCCGAAGAGAGGAAGAAGAACAGACGGAGACCAGGGGGAACUGGGAAGGAGCAAGUGCGGAGGCGAUCCUGAAGCUGCUGAGGAAGGAAGAUGGGGUGAGACUGGAAAAUGAAAACAGACAUGCAAAAGAAGCUGGAAGGAGUGGUGGUGAGCUCGCCUCAAGCUCUUUUGCUGCAGAAAUGCACGGAAAAUAUGAGAGGAUCCUGAAAGAAUUCUCUGGCAGAGAGCACAUCUUGUUUUCGGCCGGCAUUUGUUCGUCGUCGUCGUCGUCACUACCUACAUUCCCCCGCCGUGUUCACAUAUGAAAACAAUUAUUUCUCAGUUCAGGAAGUCGGUUUUAAUCGUUAGUUUGGCUUCAAAGGAUCCAGCACCCUUUACAAGGUCAGACUAGCUCCAAAGACAGCUAGGCAGAAACUCUGGCCUGGGAGUAAGCUGAGCUUUCCUGGUAGGCAACUGCUUAGAACUUGUGCUUGAGUCCUGGAAAUGAGGAAGAUGUCCUAUCUGAGGUGGAAGGGAAGAGUUCAUCCCUGAGUGCUGGAGAGACGGUCUCAGAGAAACAACUUCCCUCGGUCUCACCUGCACUCGGUAUUCAACAAGUUCCACUGGAG